rnacentral:lncRNA from 1 species
UAUUGAAACAAGAAAAGCAAAGUGAUCUAAUAUAUUCACCAAUAGAAACAAAAAUCAAACCAACUUUGAAAAUACCAAAACGAAUAAUAAUGAUAAAGACUAUUUUUGUGUGUGAAAAAACUUUUGAGGAAGUGGGCUAGAGGGAAAUCAGUGGAGAGAUGAGAGAAAAUUUGGUCCAUGUGCUUGGAGGCCUCACAACAUGACGCCCAGAAUUGUAGAAUGACCGUCCCAAUUGUUUGAUCGAGCUUAGCCCUUGAUUUCACCUUUUUCACCGCUCUUUUCCGUCCACCUGCCAUUUUUUCUACAAGAUUCUACUCGUUUUGGCUACUCCGAGCGAAAGAACAGAGCAAGAGGAGAAUGUAUUUAAGAGGGAAUUUGCAAUAGGGUUAUAACAGCGCCCCUCCUCGCUUUUCAUCAGUUCCUCGAAAUCGCGUAAUCAGAUCCAAUGUUGAUAGUGGCAGUGCGGUGCAUCGGUUCCGCUGUUAGAGAGAGAGGGCGGCACAAAAGUGACUGUGCAGCACUCACCGCUGCGGUGGACUCAACUAUUGUAG